rnacentral:rRNA from 1 species
UGAGCGGAGGAAAAGAAGCCUACAAGGAUUGCCUCAGUAACGGCGAGUGAAGCGGCAAAAGCUCAAAUUUGCUUUCCCCGGGGGAGUUGUAAUUUGAAGAUUGCGUCUUGGAGGCGACCGUGUCUAUGUUCCUUGGAACAGGACGUCACAGAGGGUGAGACUCCCGAUGGCACGAACCCCGGCUCCUUAUAAGGCGCUCUCGACGAGUCGAGUUGUUUGGGAAUGCAGCUCAAAGUGGGUGGUAAAUUCCAUCUAAAGCUAAAUACAGGCGAGAGACCGAUAGCGAACAAGUACAGUGAUGGAAAGAUGAAAAGCACUUUGAAAAGAGAGUGAAACAGCACGUGAAAUUGUUGAAAGGGAAGGGCAUGCCGUCAGAUUGUCAGUGUGGGUAAGAAGCGGGGUACAAAGACUGUGGAACGUGGCCCUCGGGUGUUAUAGCCGCAGUUCAUGCCCCGUCU